rnacentral:rRNA from 1 species
GAUGAACGCUGGCGGCGUGCUUAACACAUGCAAGUCGAGCGAAGCACUUACCAUUGACUCUUCGGAAGAUUUGGUAAAUGACUGAGCGGCGGACGGGUGAGUAACGCGUGGGUAACCUGCCUCAUACAGGGGAAUAACAGUUAGAAAUGGCUGCUAAUGCCGCAUAAGCGCACAGUACCGCAUGGUACGGUGUGAAAAACCGAGGUGGUAUGAGAUGGACCCGCGUCUGAUUAGGUAGUUGGUGGGGUAACGGCCUACCAAGCCGACGAUCAGUAGCCGGCCUGAGAGGGUGAACGGCCACAUUGGGACUGAGACACGGCCCAGACUCCUACGGGAGGCAGCAGUGGGGAAUAUUGCACAAUGGGGGAAACCCUGAUGCAGCGACGCCGCGUGAAGGAAGAAGUAUCUCGGUAUGUAAACUUCUAUCAG